rnacentral:rRNA from 1 species
UACGUAGGGUGCAAGCGUUGUCCGGAAUUACUGGGUGUAAAGGGUCCGCAGGCGGGCAAGCAAGUCGGUGGUGAAAGUCUUUGGCUCAACCAAAGAAUUGCCUUCGAUACUGCUUGUCUUGAGUUCGAGAGAGGAUAAUGGAAUUCAUGGUGUAGCGGUGAAAUGCGUAGAGAUCAUGAAGAACACCAGUAGCGAAGGCGGUUAUCUGGCUCGAUACUGACGCUCAGGGACGAAAGCGUGGGUAGCAAACAGG